AGCUCUCUUUGUAGAUAUUGACGAAGCAACUGAUGAUGAAGAUUUCAAGGUGGUUCCCAAAUCUCAUCUAACUUCUUACCUUAUUACCAAUCUUGGAAGUGAGGGAGAAUGAAGUAGUAUCCUACCAGAGAGAUUUAAAGAGCCUCAGAAAAAUGGAGUUUCUCUGUGCCCUAACCUUGCCCGUUGGAAAACUAGUCGUCAACUACGUUGAGCAGAACCACAAGGACAAAAUGAAGAUCUUUAUGGCAAAGUAUUACUGUGUGAGAUUGCAUGCUUUAUUCGGUGCUGCUUUGGCAACUGGACUGGUAACAGCUAGAACCAUCGCUGGAAAAUAUGUUGACAUGACGGUUUUUCUCUGAUUUUCCACUCCAUAGAUUUCAAAAUCUGCCUAGUGAGCAUACAUUUUUGAAUUCUUGCUAUUAUGAGUAUUCUGUGAAAGCAAUUUUGGCUAUACAUCAAACACACAUGUGCAGGAUUGACAGUACACUAAAAGUGAAUUUUUCAGCAGUGUGCAUACCACCUUAGCUAGGUUGUUACUUUUUUAGUGUUAAUAACUAACAAUUAAUCAUGGUGCUUAAAAUUAAUAAAAAGAGAGAGGACAUAGUGAUCAUUCAAGCACACAUUGGUCCUACUGCAUUGCAUUUAAUAUCAAAGGCUUAUUCAAGAACCUAAUUAAAGUCUUCAUUCUGUUUUUAAAAUUCUUGUCCCUCUGUUCC